AAUUUAAUUCAAAGUACUGAGAAGGAAUAUAAAAGUAGUUAUUAAUAUAAAAGAUAUUAAAUAUCGUACCUUUUGCAUUAUGGACUAUUAAAAGUUAUAUAUAAAUAUAUUUUCCUGAAGAUAUUUGAGCUACUAAAAAUAAUAUCUAAUGUUGCAUGAUUAGGAAAAAGUUUUUAGUAGAGGUGAAAUGCCUCUCGCAAAUAUCGAUAGCUGGUUGGAGGCGAAAUGCAUAUAAGUGCAGCAUAUUAAUAGUGAGAAGUAAGGGGAUAAGCUCUUGCUUUAUAAUGAAGAUAUAGAUUAUAAUUAACAAAGAAGUAGGCUUAGAAACGGUCACUAUGAAAAAGUUAAAUUUCAUUUGUUUAUUAAUAAAAUUAGACAAUCAUCUCUAAGAUUAGCUUCUUAAUUAGGUUAAUUAAACCUUAUAAGGUUAGAAUAGUAUAAGUAGAAGUAGAAAUUAAUAACUAUAUAUUCAGUGAAUAGUUACAGUUAGUAGUUCUUAAUUAGACUAAUAGAAGGAACUCGGCAAAAAUAUACUUCGCCUGUUUACCAAAAACAUGGCCCCUUGUACUCUAUAAAUAGGGGGUCGUACCUGCCCGGUGACUAAUGUUAAACGGAUGCUUUAAUUAGUACUAAGGUAGCAAAAUCUAUUGCCCUUUAAUUGGGGGCCUGUUGAAGGGUUUGACGUAAGUUUUACUGUCUCCUUUUAGUUUGUUGAAAUUUACUUUUAAGUGAAAAGGCUUAAAUAUAAUAGUUGGACGAGAAGACCCCGUUGAGCUUUUAUAUAUAUAACAAUAGUUUUAAUAUAUAUUUGGCUGGGGUGUCGUGGGAAGAUUAAAUCUUCCCAGAAAUAUACUUCCUGAUAGGGGAUGAUCCUCAGAUAGAGAUCAGCAGAACAAGCUACCACGGGGAUAACAGCGUUAUCUUUUUUGAGAGUUCUUAUCGAAAAGAGGGUUUGCGACCUCGAUGUUGGAUUAGGGCGUCCUUGAGGUGCAGCAGCUUUAAAUGGUAGGUCUGUUCGACCUUUAAAGCCCUACAUGAUCUGAGUUCAGACCGGCGAUGAGCCAGGUCGGCUUCUAUCCUCUAAAUAAUUUUGGGUGGUAUGUACGAAAGGACCACUACUCCUUAUUUAUAAGUACAA
rnacentral:rRNA from 1 species